AAAGCAGGCUGCAAUUCCAGUGCUUCAUUCUGUGGGAGUACUGCCAUUUCCCUGCUGAGAGCAAUGCUGUCACUUUGGACGUGAUCUCUCUUCUGGCUGGUGGUGAAAUCACCCAUCUUGUGAACAGUGACAAGA